rnacentral:rRNA from 1 species
AACGAAAGCUGGCGGCAUGCCUAACACAUGCAAGUCGAACGAAACCUUCCUGCCUAGUGGCGCACCGCUGCGUAACGCGUGGGAACCUGCCUUUAGGUUCGCUAUAACUCAGAGUAAUUUGACCUCAUACCGGUUGAUCUAUUCGCACCAAAGAUUUAUCGCCUUUAGAUGGGCCCGCGUUGGAUUCGCUGGUUGGUGGGGUAAAGGCCUAUCAAGGCGACGAUGCAUAGCUGGUCUGAGAGGAUGAUCAUCAACACCGGGGCUGAGGCACGGCCCAGCAUGCUACGGGAGGGAGGAGUGGGUAAUAUUGGGGAAUGGGGGAAGGUCUGAUCCAGCAAUGCGGGGUGAGUGAUGAAGGGCUUAGGGUUGUAAAGCUCUUUUACACGAGGUGAUAAUGACGGUAUCGGGAGAAUAAGCACCGGCUAACUCCGUG